rnacentral:rRNA from 1 species
CACGUAGGGCGCAAGCGUUGUCCGGAAUUAUUGGGCGUAAAGAGCUCGUAGGCGGUCUGUUGCGUCCGCUGUGAAAACCCGGGGCUUAACCCCUGGCUUGCAGUGGAUACGGACAGACUAGAGGUAGGUAGGGGAGAAUGGAAUUCCGGGUGUAGCGGUGGAAUGCGUAGAGAUCCGGAAGAACACCGGUGGCGAAGGCGGCCUGCUGGGCAGUUGCUGACACUGAGGCGCGACAGCGUGGGGAGCAAACAGG